AGUCGAACGGUAACAGGAAGCAGCUUGCUGCUUCGCUGACGAGUGGCGGACGGGUGAGUAAUGUCUGGGAAACUGCCUGAUGGAGGGGGAUAACUACUGGAAACGGUAGCUAAUACCGCAUAAUGUCGCAAGACCAAAGAGGGGGACCUUCGGGCCUCUUGCCAUCGGAUGUGCCCAGAUGGGAUUAGCUAGUAGGUGGGGUAACGGCUCACCUAGGCGACGAUCCCUAGCUGGUCUGAGAGGAUGACCAGCCACACUGGAACUGAGACACGGUCCAGACUCCUACGGGAGGCAGCAGUGGGGAAUAUUGCACAAUGGGCGCAAGCCUGAUGCAGCCAUGCCGCGUGUGUGAAGAAGGCCUUCGGGUUGUAAAGCACUUUCAGCGGGGAGGAAGGCGGUAAGGUUAAUAACCUUACCGAUUGACGUUACCCGCAGAAGAAGCACCGGCUAACUCCGUGCCAGCAGCCGCGGUAAUACGGAGGGUGCAAGCGUUAAUCGGAAUUACUGGGCGUAAAGCGCACGCAGGCGGUCUGUCAAGUCGGAUGUGAAAUCCCCGGGCUCAACCUGGGAACUGCAUUCGAAACUGGCAGGCUAGAGUCUUGUAGAGGGGGGUAGAAUUCCAGGUGUAGCGGUGAAAUGCGUAGAGAUCUGGAGGAAUACCGGUGGCGAAGGCGGCCCCCUGGACAAAGACUGACGCUCAGGUGCGAAAGCGUGGGGAGCGAACAGGAUUAGAUACCCUGGUAGUCCACGCCGUAAACGAUGUCGACUUUGGAGGUUGUGCCCUUGAGGCGUGGCUUCCGGGAGCUAACGCGUUAAGUCGACCGCCUGGGGAGUACGGCCGCAAGUUAAAACUCAAUGAAUUUGACGGGGGCCCGCACAAGCGGGUGGGAGCAUGGUGGUUUAAUU
rnacentral:rRNA from 1 species